rnacentral:rRNA from 1 species
GAUGAACGCUGGCGGCGUGCCUAAUACAUGCAAGUCGAGCGAACGGACGAGAAGCUUGCUUCUCUGAUGUUAGCGGCGGACGGGUGAGUAACACGUGGAUAACCUACCUAUAAGACUGGGAUAACUUCGUGAAACCGGAGCUAAUACCGGAUGAUCUUUUGAACCGCAUGGUUCAAAAGUGAAAGACGGUCUUGCUGUCACUUAUCGAUGGAUCCGCGCUGCAUUAGCUAGUUGGUAGGGUAACGGCUUACCAAGGCAACGAUGCAUAGCCGACCUGAGAGGGGGAUCGGCCACAAUGGAACUGAGACACGGUCCAGACUCCUACGGGAGGCAGCAGUAGGGAAUCUUCCGCAAUGGGCGAAAGCCUGACGGAGCAACGCCGCGUGUGUGAUGAAGGUCUUCGGAUCGUAAAACUCUGUUAUUAGGGAAGAACAUAUGUGUAAGUAACUGUGCACAUCUUGACGGUACCUAAACAGAAAGCCACGGCUAACUACGUG